UUUUAGUUUCUCACCGUAAUUUGUGCCUCUUCAUUAACGGUUCGGAACCGCCAAAAAACGCCCAGGUCCUCCCGGUCACACUUCACAAAUGAGAAGAGCCAAUGGCGAUUCUAUUACCGAAACGGAACGUUCCACCACCAUGACCAACUCCGAGUCCGAAAGCGAGACUGACGAGGACCUUGCUCCUUCUCUUGAUUCGAGUCCCUACAUUGAAGGCGAAAGGGUCCUCGUUUCUCAUAAUAAACGAAUUUACAACGCCAAGGUAAUGCAAGUUGAAUAUCGCAAGAAGGAGUGCAGGUUUUUAGUUCAUUACCUUGGGUGGAACAAAAACUGGGAUGAGUGGGUGGCUAUAGAUCGGUUGAUGAAACAUAAUGAUGAGAAUGUUCAGAAACAAAAAGCUAUUAAUGCAAAACAGGAUGCAGACAAGAACUUGAAUCGAGGGCGUGCAGUGCACAUUAGACCAAAAAGCUCGAAUGCUGCAAGGGGUAGAAAACGUAAGAAUGAUUCUCUCUGUAAGGAAAAGGGUGCCAUAUGCUCGGAGAAGUUUGUAAACCUCCAAUUGCCAUUGAUUCUGAAGAAGCAACUAGUUGACGAUUGUGAAUUUAUUACUCAACUGGGCAAGCUUGUUAAACUUCCUCGUUCUCCAAAUGUGGAUGGCAUACUGAAGAAGUAUCUAGAGUAUAGGUCAAAAAAGGAUGGCAUGGUAGCUGAUUCAGUUAGGGAAAUUCUGAAAGGUUUGCGCUGUUACUUCAACAAAGCAUUACCCGUGUUGCUUCUGUACAAAACUGAGCAUCAGCAAUAUGAAGAGAUGAUUGCAGAUGAUGUCUCCCCUGCAACUGUAUAUGGUGCCGAGCAUCUAUUACGCCUCUUUGGGCAAUUACUCUUGGAUCUGAGGCGUUAGAACUGAUAUCACAGUAUGUGAUAACUUGGCGACACUGACCUGGUGCAAUCUUAUAGAACUGAUAUCACAGUAUGUGAUAACUUGGUGACACCGACCUGGUACAAUCUUAUACCUUGUGAGUCUUUAUAUUUUAGUGUGAUAGUGAUAUGUGACCUUAAUGAGGAUUAUAUUGACCUAUAAUAUUAUAGUGUUAUGAAAAAUGUUUUUACUUUCCAUUAUUUUCUAUUCAUGACAGAGGCAAUCUGUAAAAGAACCUAUAACAGUAUGUAAAAGGCUUGUACUAUUCAUUAUUUACCAAAUGGAGAAGAACUUAUAACGAUAAAUGGAGAACUUAUAACGUCAAUGCUUAUUUCUCUUAAAUCUUCAUUAUUAUAGGGGCACUAUGUACAAGAAUAAUAUUACUUUUUUGGAUGGGAGAAUGUGAUUAAUGAACGUGUAUGCUGAAUUGUUUAUUGAUGUUGUUGCUGGGAAUUCUCUUUUUCCAAUUCUACGCAUUCAAGCUACACAGGUUAUUUUGUAUCUUUUACUAACCAUUUCUUGCAUUUGCAGUUAAAUUGCCUGAGUUGUUGUCCCUCAUAAGCAUUGAGGAGGAGACGAUGAUUGAGUUACAGCUAAAAUUAGUUGAUUUUCUCAAGUUCCUCCAGAAGAAUCAGAAUGCAUUUUUCCUGACCACAUACCUAACAGCAUAGCAUGUUACAA